GACGAACGCUGGCGGCGUGCUCAACACAUGCAAGUCGAAAGGUGACGAAGAUCUUGCUCUUCUGAUCAGUGGCGAACGGGUGAGUAACACGUGAGCAACCUACCCUUGACACUGGGAUAACAGUUGGAAACAGUUGCUAAUACCGGAUAUGAACAUCACAGGCAUCUGAGAGGGUGGAAAGCUCCGACGGUCAAGGAUGGGCUCGCUGCCUAUCAGCUUGGUGGUGAGGUAACGGCUCCCCAAGGCGACGACGGGUAGGCGGCCUGAGGGGGCGACCGCCCACACUGGGACUGAGAUACGGCCCAGACCCCUACGGGAGACAGCAGUGGGAAAUAUUGCGAAAGGGGCGAAAGCCUGACGCAGCAACGCCGCGUGCGGGAUGACGGCCUUCGGGUUAUAAACCGCUUUCAGCAGAGAAGAAACUGACGGUACCUGCAGAAGAAGCACCGGCUAACUACGUGCCAGCCGCCGCAGUAACAC
rnacentral:rRNA from 1 species